GAAGCCCUAGUCCCAUUUCUCCCUUGCAGCCGCGUCCUUCUCCUUCCCUCUCCCCCGACCUCUCGCUCUCUCUCUCUCGUUCUCCCUCUGCCAUCACCGGAGACUCCAUCUCCGGCCACCAUCUCACCACAUCACUUCCACCAGUCGACGCAACACCUGAACCCGACCAAAACCCACCCGGAAUCACCGACAUGCAUCGCCGGUAGCCUCCACACGCGACCACCAAAAGCUGCGACACCACUGCCCUUUCUCCUUCGUCGAUUUCCGACCAUCACCAUGCCACACCGACGCCACCGCCUGACUCAACAAGCAACGAGGAGCAAAAACACGGAAGUUCUGCCAACCACCGAGGAUGGACGACGCCGCACGCACAUCGCCGGAGUCAUGGCUCUGCUUGACUCUGUUCUUCGACUUCCGGCGAGUUCAGGCCACACCACCCCUAUGAAUGAGUUCAGGGUAUCACGAUUUGCCAUAGCCCUCUAACUCCGACUCCCCAAUCCCGGCCAGAACCGCCGCUGGCGUAUGAGCCACCGCAGCUCCACCACUCAUGGAUGCCGGAUUUCCAGAUAGUUUCGAUUAGGUAAUUAUCUUACCCUCUCUUGGUUAAAACCCUGAUUUUCGAUGUGGAUUGAGAAGCCCUAAUCAACUGCUGUUUGAUUUGAGAAUUGAGGUUGGAGGAGUUCUGCAUUUUUGGAGGACUUCGGGUAUGUGGAGUUCGGGAAUUUGGAGUUUUGGAGGAGGAGGGGCUGCUGGGUUAAUUUCAGUUGAAACUGGAGAAGGUGUUUACGUGACUGUUGAUGGUGAAUUGCAGUGAUUGGAAUUAACUUCCAAAUCUAGUAAAGAAGAAUGGACCCGAGCGUGUGCACUUGGAUUUGGAUAAAGGAUCGAAAGUCGGGAACGAACCCGAAUGUGGGCAAGCACUCCAAUUCCAGAGCUGAUAAUUGUUGAUUGCGAAAACCGAGGCUAGACUUGCAUGUUGAGAUACUGUACCCUUUGUAUGUUUGUGACCUGAAAGUGAAUGGGACCUAGACGCGUUGAUUCCUAGGGAUCCCACGGUGUCGAUAACCGUGAACCUCCGGAGGGGGCUGUGCUCCUAUGUUUGUCGGGGAAAGGUAAGUACAGACAGUGAACCAGUCAUAGGAGACUCAGAGCCAGGAAAUGGACACUUUCGCUACUUGUAGUCACAAGGACAACAAAGUAGUUGGCUGGUUCUCUUACUCAGGACGAACCAGAUCGGUCACUGAUUUAUUUUACUUUAGCCGGCAGGUAAGUAUCUCGGAGCUCCAAGUGUGUGAAGCAUACUGCACAUGUUUUAUGAAAGAAAACAAAUGUUUGUGGUUGCCACUUUUCUUAAAGUAUUUUUCGAUAAACGUGCACAAUAUUAUGUAGUAAUAUUUUCAAGUAUAUUAUUUUUCAAACCUAGCAUGGUUGGGUCGGCCCCUACUGGGCAUGCGAGGACGAAAGCUCACCCCUACUAUAGUGUGCAGGUUUCGAGCAUGUGGUCGGGAAGCGUACAGGGGAGGCACAUGACCCGGCUUGGCGCAUUUCUCUU